GGGACUGUGGCUUAGUGGUAGAGUGCUUCCCUUGCAUGUAUGAAGCCCAGGGUUCGAUUCCUCAGUACCA
rnacentral:tRNA from 1 species